UGGGGAAUUUUGGACAAUGGGCGAAAGCCUGAUCCAGCAAUGCCGCGUGUGUGAAGAAGGCCUUCGGGUUGUAAAGCACUUUUGUCCGGAAAGAAAUCCUUGGCUCUAAUACAGUCGGGGGAUGACGGUACCGGAAGAAUAAGCACCGGCUAACUACGUGCCAGCAGCCGCGGUAAUACGUAGGGUGCAAGCGUUAAUCGGAAUUACUGGGCGUAAAGCGUGCGCAGGCGGUUUGCUAAGACCGAUGUGAAAUCCCCGGGCUCAACCUGGGAACUGCAUUGGUGACUGGCAGGCUAGAGUAUGGCAGAGGGGGGUAGAAUUCCACGUGUAGCAGUGAAAUGCGUAGAGAUGUGGAGGAAUACCGAUGGCGAAGGCAGCCCCCUGGGCCAAUACUGACGCUCAUGCACGAAAGCGUGGGGAGCAAACAGGAUUAGAUACCCUGGUAGUCCACGCCCCAAACGAUGUCAACUAGUUGUUGGGGAUUCAUUUCCUUAGUAACGUGCUAACGCGUGAAGUUGACCGCCUGGGGGAGUACGGUCGCAAGAUUAAAACUUAAAUGAAUUGACGGGGUCAUAGCUGUUUCCU
rnacentral:rRNA from 1 species